rnacentral:rRNA from 1 species
GACGAACGCUGGCGGCGUGCCUAAUACAUGCAAGUUGAGCGAUGAAGAUUGGUGCUUGCACCAAUUUGAAGAGCAGCGAACGGGUGAGUAACGCGUGGGGAAUCUGCCUUUGAGCGGGGGACAACAUUUGGAAACGAAUGCUAAUACCGCAUAACAACUUUAAACAUAAGUUUUAAGUUUGAAAGAUGCAAUUGCAUCACUCAAAGAUGAUCCCGCGUUGUAUUAGCUAGUUGGUGAGGUAAAGGCUCACCAAGGCGAUGAUACAUAGCCGACCUGAGAGGGUGAUCGGCCCCAUUGGGACUGAGACACGGCCCAAACUCCUACGGGAGGCAGCAGUAGGGGAACUUCGGCAAUAGACGGAAGUCUGACCGAGCAACGCCGCGUGAGGGAAGAAGGUUUUCGGAUCGUAAAACUCUGUUGGUAGAGAAGAACGUUGGUGAGAGUGGAAAGCUCAUCAAGUGACGGUAACUACCCAGAAAGGGACGGCUAACUACGUG